rnacentral:sRNA from 1 species
UCGACGGUACGGAGGCCGGCCGACGGGUUU